GCCCAUGUGGCUCAGUGGUAGAGCACGCCCUUGGUAAGGGCGAGAUCCGGGGUUCGAUUCUCCGCAUGGGCUCCA
rnacentral:tRNA from 1 species